AGGUGGAAGAGCGUGGUGAUGCCACGUUAUGUUGCUGUGGUCCAUCGAGUGAAAAUCAAGUUGAAUGUGGUGGAAGUGCAGGAAUAUGUAAACAUUUUUAUGAUUCCGCUCCAAGUGGACGUUACGGCACUAUGACGUAUUUUUCACAAGCAGUAGCUGCUCGCCUAUGUUUAUUAUCUCAUGCCAAGGAAUGUAUUGUAAGUUGAUGGAUCAAGAUGACCAAGGAUGAAUAUAGUUAGAAAAAGUGAAUGUAAAUAGUGUAGUUAUAUUUCAAUGAUAUUAAGAGUAUUAAAUUAUUGAUAGAUCUUGUCUUCUAGCCAAAUGGGUUCAAUUCCUUGCCCAGUUAAGGUGAUUGAAUAGUCUGCAAGAUGUCAACGCAAAUUCGGGAAAUGUUUAUAUUGGAAAACGGUGACGUCUUAAACAUUUUUCCAUCAGGCUUUUCUGUUAUGAAUACAUUGCGAUAGGUUGUAGUAGAGUAUAUUAGGAUAUACCAAUCAAAAUUGAAAAUUUACAGUAGCUGGUUACCUAUUUGGACAAAAGUGAAAUCACUAACGUAGGAAGCAAUUUUGCAUGGGGGGGGGGCUGAUUAGUUAGGAGAGAUUAUUAGGUCAUUAUUUCCCUGUCAAACUUUACAGAUUAUCGCUAGUUUACAAAUUAUUGGCGGGACUUCAGUCCCCCCCGAGUAUAUAACUUUUAUAUAACUUAUAGUACUGAAUCC